rnacentral:lncRNA from 1 species
ACCAUACGUGGUGCAUAAAGAAUUACUCUACACAAUAAUGAGGGAGUGCUAGCUUUUAUUAUCUCUCCUUGAGGAAGGAAAAUUUAUUGAUUGGAUUUGGUUCAAAGUAGACCACAAAUAAUUAAUAACUUUUCUGUUAUCAUAUAUUUAAUACCUUUUCCUCCUUAAUAAUACACCCUGCAUAGUAAAUUAUCGCUGGUUUGAAUGCUCUUGAACUAGCUCCAACCAAUAACU